UUGCGCUUCUCGCAACGAUCUCCAACGAUCUCCCUCUCGGAAGUCCUUCUCGCGUUCUCGUCACGAGUCUCCCAGAGCUCGAUCAAGCGCAAUAAAUCCCCGCUCGAGUUACAAGCGGCGCGUGAAAAACCGUGCGCCGCGAAGCAUCGAAGUAAAACAGACGGAGAGCGAGAGAGAGAGAGUAAGAAAGAGGGAAAAAAAACAAAAACAAAAGGAAGCGAGAGCGAGUGGAAGAAAAAAGGGAGGAGAGAGGGGGAACAAAACGACAAAGAGCGCGAAUCGAGGCGCUCGGCUCGCUCGUUGGAAGAAGA